CGGACUUUCGAAUUGGUUACUAGCUACGCUCGAGAGGAAAUAAAUAAAUAACUUUGCAAACCUUUUUACCAAAGUCUCCUUAAUAAACGAUCUCAAAACUUGUUUUUAGCACUAUUAUUCAUGACAGCGAUGUUCAUUUUGUUCAACCGCUAGCUUUAUACAGAAAAUCGCCGAAAAUUACAAUAUCGGAUCCGAGUCUGGGAGCAGAUAUGAGUAAUUCCGGGUUUUGGCGAUCAACUAUUAAAAAAAUCAGACAGAUGACAAAAUACAUCUUUGCAUAGUAAAUAAAUAUAAACACUAGAAUUGAAAACC
rnacentral:lncRNA from 1 species